rnacentral:miRNA from 1 species
GUGUGUGUGUGUGUGUGUGUGUGUGUGUGUGUGUGUGUGUGUGUACAGUGUGUGUGCAUACACACACACACACACACACAAAAAGGACAU